GAAUAGACCGCCAGGGAGGGUGAAAGCCCCGUACGGUGUCGGGAGAGCGCUAGGUGGCCGCUUGAAGAGUCGAGUUGUUCGGGACUGCAGCUCUAAGUGGGAGGUAGACUUCUCCUAAGGCUCAAUAACUAUGAGAGACCGAUAGCGAACAAGUAAUGUGAAUGAAAGAUGAAAAUAUAUUUUUCCUUCCGUAAGAACUUUGAAUGAACAAAACA
rnacentral:rRNA from 1 species